GAUGAACGCUGGCGGCGUGCCUAAUACAUGCAAGUCGAGCGAACAGACGAGGAGCUUGCUCCUCUGACGUUAGCGGCGGACGGGUGAGUAACACGUGGAUAACCUACCUAUAAGACUGGGAUAACUUCGGGAAACCGGAGCUAAUACCGGAUAACAUGUUGAACCGCAUGGUUCAACAGUGAAAGACGGUCUUGCUGUCACUUAUAGAUGGAUCCGCGCCGCAUUAGCUAGUUGGUAAGGUAACGGCUUACCAAGGAAACGGUGCGAAGCCGACCUGAGAGGUGGACGGGCACACUGGGAAUGGAGCCACGUCCCAGCCCCCACCGGGAGGCAGGGGAAGGGAUUCUCCGGAAAGGAACGAAGCCCUGACGGGCAACCGCCGCGUGGGGAAAGAGGGUUUGCGGUUCGUAAACCUCUGUUAUUAGGAAAGAAAAAAUGUGAAGUAACUAUGCACGUCUUGACGGUACCUAAUCAGAAAGCCACGGCUAACUACGUG
rnacentral:rRNA from 1 species